AAAGUUCGUCUGGGGUGCCAUUUUUGGCUGAGAUCAUACCCAUUGAACCUGAUGUAGUUCGUACUACCGAAGGAAGACCGAAUACCGCAAUA
rfam:Pediococcus acidilactici DSM 20284 genomic scaffold SCAFFOLD1, whole genome shotgun sequence.